GAGCAAACACAGCUCUUUUAGAAUUUUUCUAACAGGAUUUCUGACCUUGGACAGAAAACCCAA
rnacentral:snRNA from 1 species